GAAGAAUGGAAGAGCAUCUAAAAUAGUGAGUGAUGACCCUUGAUCAAGUUCCAGGAACUCUUCCUGUUGGAAAACAGUUCAAAAAUUUGGAAAAUCUCCCUGGAACAUACAUAGCCAUCUCUGCUGAGUAUACACUUGAGUGAAAUUUUUGGAUCCCGGAAUUAUGUUCAACUUCAAAAGGUAAGGCAAAGUCUUCGUGCCCUUCGAUCUACACUCCCACUUCCAGUGCUUGGUUGUUCCAGGUUCUCCACAUCUGUUCCAAAUCUUGAUAUUGUCUAACUUCUUUUAUUCCUGGAAUAAUGUCUUGUGGUUUGACUGACAUUUCCCUAAAUGACCAAUCAUUUUAAGCACCUUCUUAUAUGUUUUUAGCUAAUUCAGAAUCAUCUCCAAUGAAGUGCCUGUUAUAGUUUGUAUUCAUUGUUUAUUCCUGUGACUUCCAUUUUAUUAUUUAUUUGUAGACUUUUAUGCACACACAUAUACACCCUGGAAACAAUUUUUUUUCAGGUAUGUAUUUUGUGAAUAUUUUCUUCCAAUCUGUGUUUGUUUUUCGCUCUACUACUGUAUUUUGCUGAGCAAAACUCCUUAAUGUUGUUGUCCAAUUUUUUACUUACGGCCAGUGCUUUUUUGUUCAAGCUUUCUUUGCCUACCCUGGAAAACGAUGAUAGUCUCCGAAAGGUUUAUUAUUUGCUGAUCACAUAUAGAUGUGUACUAUGUCAAGAUUUAUUUUUGUUUAUGAUGUAAGGUAAAAAACUUUUUCUCAUAAAAAUAUCCAGUAGAUCCAGCUUAUCUUAUUGAAUAUACCAUUAUUUCCCUGUUGCAUUUCAGCAUCCCUUUGUUGUAUAUCAGGCAAUCAUCUAUGUGUGACCAUUUCCAGACUGCCUAUUUUCUACCAAUGAUCCAUUUUUCAAUCUUUGUAACAAUACCACACUGUUUUAUCUCUAUAUGGAUCUUGAUAAUUCUAUCUCUGAAAUCCAGUAGAAUUCUUAACUUUUGUCCUUCUUA
rnacentral:lncRNA from 1 species